rnacentral:rRNA from 1 species
UAGGGAAUCUUCCGCAAUGGACGCAAGUCUGACGGAGCAACGCCGCGUGAGUGAAGAAGGAUUUCGGUUCGUAAAACUCUGUUGUUAGAGAAGAACAGCGCAUAGAGUAACUGUUAUGCGUGUGACGGUAUCUAACCAGAAAGCCACGGCUAACUACGUGCCAGCAGCCGCGGUAAUACGUAGGUGGCAAGCGUUGUCCGGAUUUAUUGGGCGUAAAGCGAGCGCAGGCGGUCAAUUAAGUCUGAUGUGAAAGCCCCCGGCUCAACCGGGGAGGGUCAUUGGAAACUGGUUGGCUUGAGUGCAGAAGAGGAGAGUGGAAUUCCAUGUGUGGCGGUGAAAUGCGUAGAUAUAUGGAGGAACACCAGUGGCGAAGGCGACUCUCUGGUCUGUAACUGACGCUGAGGCUCGAAAGCGUGGGUAGCAAACAGG